UAUUUUAUUCAACAAUCAAUAAGAUAAACAUACAUAGACGUACUUCCCCAUCACCCUUCUACUUUUAUCUUCCAACACGGGAUUCCGAUCAAUAAGUUGGGGCCCCAAGCUUCUUCAGGAAAACAGUUUUUAUUUGUGCUAGCAGAUUCAUCCAAACUUCUGUUUCAAAGAACCAAGCCCCAAAGGCUCACUAGACGGAGCCUUUUGGAUUUUGCGUCUUUGUCUCCCAUACAUGGAAGGGAAACUAAUCACCCCACAUCAUCCCCAAGACUUGUGAACGACUGCUCUUUCUGUACUGAGUACUCACAGAUGUGGAAACAGACCCACAGGGAACUCACGGGGCUAUCGGCAAUAGAGGCACCAUCAGUCCCAGCACCAAGUCCCAUCAGGGAAGUAGCCAAACUCUGUGUGAAAUAAUUAAAAAAUUAUUUUUCACUUUCUUAAUUUCUUUUCAAAAAUUUUAUAAAUGUAUAUUGUAUUUAUAUCAUUCCUCCCCUUCCUCUCCUCCUAUGCCCCCACCUUGUGCUCCCUUUCAAAUUCUUGUAUUUACA
rnacentral:lncRNA from 1 species